AGAGACAAGAAGGCUGUGAGGAUGUGAGAAUGGACAUGAAGCACCUGGAACAUUCUGGAACAUUCCUUACAAAUCCUGCACCAACACCACUAAUGAAGAGAAGUUGAAUGGAGAUAAAACAGGAGGUGCCAGCAUUAUGGGAUGGCGGUGUAAACUGUGUGCAUUUGUCGCAACAUCAAAAGGAAUUUCGAUCAUUAUGGAGUGAAUGGCAGAAGUAUUGUUUCUGAGACUGUUUACUAAUAAGAUAAAUCCAGCUCUCUGUUUAUGAUCUUGUUACAUGUCAUUUGCAUGUGAACCAGGUUGAGUUUAGACUUCAUGUCUUGUCAAA